CUGGAAAGAUGACCAGUAAAACAAAUUAAUGAAGUAGGCUGAUGUGUAAGUUAUCUCACCCCUAAUUUAGGAACUGUAGUUUUGCAUAGUCAUGCUCAUAGAUCCGUCAUAUAGUGGAUGUGAAAGGGGAGCAUUUGGGGAAUUUCAAUUACCAGAAAUAUCAUGCCGAUAAGUAAAGGGAUCUUUAGUUUGUGAAGGGUAGUGUUUGGCUAAAUGGUAUUCAUGUUAUAGCCUUUAUUUGCCCAAUGUUUGGUGACUUACAUUGAGGCAUGUGUUUAUUUAAGAUGCAUGUGAGUGUAGUAGUGCUUCAGUGAUGGUCUUUUCAUGUUCUGUGUGUUUUGCAAUGUAUUAAUUAAUGUAAGCCUCUUUCUGUUCCCUCUGUUUGUAGGUGGUGUGAGGACUGCUGCCCUGAGAACGCUGUGUCAGAGACACUUAGGCUGUGUGCAUUUUGGAAUGUUCCAAAUGUGUGUCACUUCCAUAAGGAAGAAGUUCCAAGCCCGCAAUGGGCUCAACUGUCAACAACUGUCCAGGGCGAAGUCGGUCUACCCUGAUGGCACUACCCUGAUGAUGUUAGCCAUGGCUGCUGCCCUCAACAUGGUAGCCCUCAUAAAUAAACUGAUAUCAAGAAGUAACGUAGAUGGUGACAAGGGUGACAAGGGUGCCUCAUGGCAAGGAGCCAUCCAGAAGUCCCAGCCUGGAGCCAGAGGCUGCUAUUACAAGUCAGAUGGGAGAUGGCCUACAGUAUGUUAGGCAUCAGAAAAGUGGUGUACGCAUGAAGGCAGAGUUGCCGCAGGCAACGAUGAGAUUAGACACUUGACAUUUACUGCGAAAGGUACCAUCAGAGCACCUCUCCCUACCCUGCAGGAUACCUAUACAAGAAGAGUACAACAACGGCCCAAAAGUAUUUCAAAAGACAUUUCACGCUCUGACCACGGACUGUUUAAACCACUGAGGUCAAGCAGACAUCUCUGUUCCCACGUGGCUGACUGAGGGAACACCCACAAAACAGACUGGGGAUGAGUUUCUUUACUCCGCAUCCUGUACACACACAACUCCUUAUACUACAUUACAUAGACUUGCCAUACUGCACUUACACACACUGCGCUUUUAACCCCCUUAUCUGUGUCAAAUCAUGUGU